rnacentral:rRNA from 1 species
CCUACGGGUGGCAGCAGUGGGGAAUAUUGCACAAUGGGGGAAACCCUGAUGCAGCGACGCCGCGUGAGUGAAGAAGUAUUUCGGUACGUAAAGCUCUAUCAGCAGGGAAGAAAAUGACGGUACCUGACUAAGAAGCCCCGGAUAACUACGUGCCAGCAACCGCGGUAAUACGUAGGGGGCAAGCGUUAUCCGGAUUUAUUGGGUUUAAAGGGGGGGCAGGCGGAAGUUAAAGUCAGCGGUAAAAUGGAGAGGCCAACACUCUUCGAGCCGUUGAAACUGGUUUUCUUGAGUGAACGAGAAGCAUGCGGAAUGCGUGGUGUAGCGGUGAAAUGCAUAGAUAUCACGCAGAACUCCGAUUGCGAAGGCAGCAUACCGGCGCUCAACUGACGCUCAUGCACGAAAGUGUGGGUAUCGAACAGGAUUAGAUACCCUAGUAGUC